UGCCAGCCGCCGCGGUAAUACGGAGGGUACGAACGUUAAUCGGAAUUACUGGGCGUAAAGCGCGCGUAGGCGGUCAGUUAAGUGGGAUGUGAAAGCCCGGGGCUCAACCUCGGAACUGCAUUCCAAACUGACAGACUAGAAUACGAUAGAGGGGGGUAGAAUUCAGAGUGUAGCGGUGAAAUGCGUAGAUAUUCUGAGGAAUACCGGUGGCGAAGGCGGCCCCCUGGAUUGAUAUUGACGCUGAGGUGCGAAAGCGUGGGGAGCAAACAGGAUUAGAUA
rnacentral:rRNA from 1 species